AUUGAACGCUGGCGGCAGGCCUAACACAUGCAAGUCGAACGAGUGGCGGACGGGUGAGUAAUGUCUGGGAAACUGCCUGAUGGAGGGGGAUAACUACUGGAAACGGUAGCUAAUACCGCAUACCAUCGGAGGUGCCCAGAUGGGAUUAGCUAGUAGGUGGGGUAAAGGCUCACCUAGUUGACGAUCCCUAGCUGGUCUGAGAGGAUGACCAGCAGCACUGGAACUGAUACACGGUCCAGACUACGACGGUAGGCAAGAGUGGGGAAUAUGGAACAAUGGGGGCAAGGCUGAUGCAGGCAGGCCGGGUGUAUGAAGAAGGCCUUCGGGUUGUAAAGUACUUUCGGCGGGGAGGCGUUACCCGCAGAAGAAGCACCGGCUAACUCCGUGCCAGCAGCCGCGGUAAUU
rnacentral:rRNA from 1 species